CCCGAAACCGAGUGAUCUAGGCAUGACCAGGAUGAAGGUUAGGUAACACUAACUGGAGGUCCGAACCCACACCUGUUGAAAAAGGUCGGGAUGAGUUGUGCCUAGGGGUGAAAGGCCAAUCAAACUCGGAGAUAGCUGGUUCUCUGCGAAAUCUAUUUAGGUAGAGCGUCACGAUUAGACUCUGGGGGGUAGAGCACUGAAUGGGCUAGGGGUCCUCACCGGAUUACCAAACCUUCUCAAACUCCGAAUACCCAGAAGUUAUGCGUGGCAGACACACGGCGGGUGCUAACGUCCGUCGUGAAAAGGGAAACAAC
rnacentral:rRNA from 1 species